rnacentral:rRNA from 1 species
GUGCAGCAGGCGAGAAAACUUCACACUGUGCGAAAGCACGAUGAGGGAAUCCCAAGUGCUUGCACGUAAGUGUAAGCUGUUUCUCUGUCUAAAACGCAGAGAGAGUAAGGGCUGGGUAAGACGGGUGCCAGCCGCCGCGGUAAUACCCGCAGCUCAAGUGGUGACCGUUAUUAUUGGGCCUAAAACGUCCGUAGCCGGUUUAAUAAAUGCCUGGGUAAAUUGUGUAGCUUAGCUAUACGAAUUCCGGGUAGACUGUUAAACUUGAGACCGGGAGAAGUUAGAGGUACUCCUGGGGUAGAGGUGAAAUUCUGUAAUCCUAGGGGACCACCAGUGGCGAAGGCGUCUAACUAGAACGGGUCUGACGGUGAGGGACGAAGCCCUGGGGCGCAAACGGGAUUAGAUACCUCCGUAGU